rnacentral:tRNA from 1 species
CGUGGGAUGGAGCAGAUGGUUAGCUCGCUGGGCUCAUAACCCGGAGGUCGGUGGUUCGAGUCCACCUCCCGCUA